rnacentral:rRNA from 1 species
UACGAAGGGGGCUAGCGUUGCUCGGAAUCACUGGGCGUAAAGGGCGCGUAGGCGGCGUUUUAAGUCGGGGGUGAAAGCCCGUGGCUCAACCACAGAAUGGCCUUCGAUACUGGGACGCUUGAGUAUGGUAGAGGUUGGUGGAACUGCGAGUGUAGAGGUGAAAUUCGUAGAUAUUCGCAAGAACACCGGUGGCGAAGGCGGCCAACUGGACCAUUACUGACGCUGAGGCGCGAAAGCGUGGGGAGCGAACAGG